CGGGACGGGUGAGUAAUGUCUGGGGAAACUGCCUGAUGGAGGGGGAUAACUACUGGAAACGGUAGCUAAUACCGCAUAACGCCGCAGACCAAAGAGGGGGACCUUAGGGCCUCUUGCCAUCGGAUGUGCCCAGAUGGGAUUAGCUAGUAGGUGGGGUAACGGCUCACCUAGGCGACGAUCCCUAGCUGGUCUGAGAGGAUGACCAGCCACACUGGAACUGAGACACGGUCCAG
rnacentral:rRNA from 1 species